GACGAACGCUGGCGGCGUGCUUAACACAUGCCAGUCGAACGGAAAGGCCCUGCUUUUGUGGGAUGCUCGAGUGGCGAACGGGUGAGUAACACGUGAGUAACCUGCCCUUGACUUUGGGAUAACUUCAGGAAACUGGGGCUAAUACCGGAUAGGAGCUCCUGCUGCAUGGUGGGGGUUGGAAAGUUUCGGCGGUUGGGGAUGGACUCGCGGCUUAUCAGCUUGUUGGUGGGGUAGUGGCUUACCAAGGCUUUGACGGGUAGCCGGCCUGAGAGGGUGACCGGCCACAUUGGGACUGAGAUACGGCCCAGACUCCUACGGGAGGCAGCAGUGGGGAAUAUUGCACAAUGGGCGGAAGCCUGAUGCAGCAACGCCGCGUGCGGGAUGACGGCCUUCGGGUUGUAAACCGCUUUCGCCUGUGACGAAGCGUGAGUGACGGUAAUGGGUAAAGAAGCACCGGCUAACUACGU
rnacentral:rRNA from 1 species